GCGAGUGAAGCGGCAAAAGCUCAAAUUUGAAAUCUGGUACCUUCGGUGCCCGAGUUGUAAUUUGUAGAGGGUGACUUUGGAUGCGUUCCCUGUCUAUGUUCCUUGGAACAGGACGUCAUGGAGGGUGAGAAUCCCGUGUGGCGGGGGCCGCGUGUCUAUGUAAAGUGCCUUCGAAGAGUCGAGUUGUUUGGGAAUGCAGCUCUAAGUGGGUGGUAAAUUCCAUCUAAAGCUAAAUACAGGCGAGAGACCGAUAGCGAACAAGUACAGUGAUGGAAAGAUGAAAAGAACUUUGAAAAGAGAGUGAAAAAGUACGUGAAAUUGUUGAAAGGGAAGGGCAUUUGAUCAGACAUGGUGUUUUGCGCCCUCUGCUCCUUGUGGGUGGGGGACUCUCGCAGCUCACUGGGCCAGCAUCGGUUUUGGCGGCAGGACAAAACCUCAGGAACGUAGCUUGCUUCGGGAAGUGUUAUAGCCUGGGGGAAUACUGCCAGCCGGGACCGAGGAAUGCGACUUUUAGUCAAGGAUGCUGGCAUAAUGGUUAUAUGCCGCCC
rnacentral:rRNA from 1 species